CGAGCCGACCGGGCGACCGCGUCGAUCUGGCAACAGAUCGCCGAGGAAAGUCCGGGCUCCACAGAGCAGGGUGGUUGUUAACGGCAACCCGGGGUGACCCGCGGGACAGUGCCACAGAAAACAGACCGCCGGACGGGCCGAGUUCGCUCGGGUCGUCGGGUAAGGGUGAAACGGUGGUGUAAGAGACCACCAGCAUUCCGGGUGACCGGAGUGGCUAGGUAAACCCCACCCGGAGCAAGGUCAAGAGGUUGCCUGCAUUGCAGGCAACUGCGCAGGCGUUCGAGGGCUGCUCGCCCGAGCCUGCGGGUAGACCGCUAGAGCCUGCCGGCGACGGCAGGUCGAGAUGGAUGGUCGCCGUUCGGAGGAUUCGUCUUCCGUUCACAGGACCCGGCUUAGAGGUUGGCUCGUCCG
rnacentral:RNase_P_RNA from 1 species